UACGAAGGGGGCUAGCGUUGUUCGGAUUUACUGGGCGUAAAGGGCGCGCAGGCGGCUCAUUUUGUCAGGCGUGAAAGCCCCGGGCUUAACCUGGGAACUGCGUUUGAGACGGAUGGGCUAGAGUUCGGGAGAGGAGAGUGGAAUUCCCAGUGUAGAGGUGAAAUUCGUAGAUAUUGGGAAGAACACCGGUGGCGAAGGCGGGUCUCUGGGCCGAUACUGACACUGAGGAGCGAAAGCGUGGGGAGCGAACAGG
rnacentral:rRNA from 1 species